rnacentral:rRNA from 1 species
GACGAACCGUGCGAACGUUGUUCGGAUUCACUGGGCUUAAAGGGCGCGUAGGCGGACUCGCCAGUCUGUGGUGAAAGCCCCCAGCUCAACUGGGGAAGUGCCGUGGAUACUGCGAGUCUGGAGGAGGGUAGGGGCAUCUGGAACGCUGGGUGGAGCGGUGAAAUGCGUUGAUAUCCAGCGGAACUCCGGUGGCGAAGGCGGGUCUCUGGGCAAUUCCUGACGCUGAGGCGCGAAAGCGUGGGGAGCAAACGGG